UCGAUGGACGUGGGUUUGAGUGAACUCCAGGAGUUGGUGAUGGACAGGGAGGCCUGGUGUGCUGCGAUUCAUGGGGUCGCAAAGAGUUGGACACGACUGAGCGACUGAACUGAACUGAAACAAUAACUAUAAUUAUCUUCAAAGCAAUAACUAUUUUAAUCACUUAUUUUAAAUUUUUUAAACUGGGAUAAGAAAGACUGGGAGCUGUAAACUCUUAAAUAAUAAUGGUUUCAAAUAGUAGUCUUUGCCAGGUUCUUUAGAAUGUGCACUGCCGCUUGCCCCCCAAAAAAGUUUUGGGCGUUUUGUUUUGGUUUAGUGUAUUAGGUUAGUGUAUGGGAGGUCUAAAAGCAAACGGUAAAUUCUAGAGAAAAAUUUUCCAACUGUAGAUACUUUUUUAAAGUGCUGCUCUCCGAUUUAAAAGAAGAAUUAAUUUUUUUUUUUUAUAUAACCCAUUAAUGACUAUUCCAAUUAUAUUCAUGUUGCUGUCACCUAGCGGCGAGUUUGUGGUUGGGAGACAGAGAAGGGUGCAGGACCACUCCGUUUAUCCAGAGUGCACUCCUGCCCCCUGGUGGUGACAUUUAUUGUGCCUGCCCUUAGCCCAUGAAAAAGCGUUUUACCAAAGGGGCAUUUUACAGGUGGCAGCCUGACUUUGCCUCUGCAGUUACAAUCAGUGUGACGGGACGGCCGACAGCUCCUGUCUUCCGUCUUACAACUACCAUCGCAUCUUACAAGAAAAGAAAUACGACUGACCUUAAGUCAUCCCGACAUCUGAAGGCAGAGCUGCGACCCUCGGCAUGAAGUCCUGAUCCACUCACUGUACGUGAUUACGCUAAAGCUAAAGGCUGCUGGAAAAAUUCAGGACCAAACUGGGCCUCUCUCCUUAAAAAGUAUGAGGACUUCCUCAUGCGCUUUUCCUGUCCCUUUCGUGGCUCCAUUUCAUUGUCCAUCCUGUGCUUCAGCUUCCUCACUGCCUCAAAUCUAAGUUAUUCAGAAAGAUUCCCAGUGGAUACCCAAGGACAUCAGUAUCUCGUGCUACCCACACACCUGAAACUUUCCUCCUGGCCAUCAUUGGAACUGAUAUAAAUCAAUGGAUACAAUCAUACAUCCUACAUUUCAUAAUUUCAGAACCCUUCUACUUCCAGAGUCUCAUUCAUCUCAAUGAUAAUCUUGU